UACGUAGGGUGCGAGCGUUGUCCGGAAUUAUUGGGCGUAAAGAGCUUGUAGGCGGUCUGUCGCGUCUGCUGUGAAAAUCCGGGGCUCAACCCCGGACUUGCAGUGGGUACGGGCAGACUAGAGUGUGGUAGGGGAGACUGGAAUUCCUGGUGUAGCGGUGAAAUGCGCAGAUAUCAGGAGGAACACCGACGGCGAAGGCAGGUCUCUGGGCCACUACUGACGCUGAGAAGCGAAAGCAUGGGGAGCGAACAGG
rnacentral:rRNA from 1 species